UACAGAGGGUGCAAGCGUCAAUCGGAAUUACUGGGCGUAAAGCGUGCGUAGGUGGUUAGUUAAGUCAGAUGUGAAAGCCCCGGGCUCAACCUGGGAAUUGCAUCUGAUACUGAAUAACUAGAGUAUGGUAGAGGAUGGCGGAAUUUCCGGUGUAGCGGUGAAAUGCGUAGAUAUCGGAAGGAACACCAGUGGCGAAGGCGGCCGUCUGGGCCAAUACUGACACUGAGGCACGAAAGCGUGGGUAGCAAACAGG
rnacentral:rRNA from 1 species